rnacentral:rRNA from 1 species
ACUAGCCCGUUGCCCACAACCUAAAAUCAAUUCACGAACCCAAAACAUUUUAAAACUGAGUAUAGGAGAUAGAAAAGAACCCCAGGAGCUAUAGAGACAGUACUGCAAGGGAAAGUUUAAAACACCAAGUUAAACUGAAGCAAAGACAGGCCCUUGUACCUUUUGAAUAAUGGUUUAACUAGUCCAAACAAGCUAAAAGAACUAAGCUUCUAACCCCGAAAUCAAGUGAGCUACUUAUAAGCAUACAAGAAAGAAUUCAGCUCUGUGGCAAAAGAGCGAAAAGACUGAUAAGUAGAGGCGAAACACCUACCGAACAUGAAGAUAGCUGGUUACUUAUUAAACGAAUCUAAGUUCCACCUUAACCCACCCAGCCCACCAAACAAAGAGAAAUGAGGGGCUUAAGAGAUAUUUAAUAGGGGUACAGCCCUAUUAAAACAGGAAACAGCCUAUGCAAGAGGAAAAAAAUUACACGUCGGCCGUAGGCCUUCAAGCAGCCACCAAAAUAUAAAGCGUUAAAGCUAAUCAACACCAAUACUAACUUUUUUAAUCCAACCCUAAACAACAAUAAGUUAUAUUAUAACACUAUAAUAGAAUUAAUGUUAAAAUGAGUAACAAGAAAAAGAUUUCUCCAAUGCAUCUGCGUAAGCCAGACCAGACAGUCUACUGGCCAUUAUGCAGUAAUUAAUAUUACACAACAAGCAACAAUAUUAACCUAACUGUUAACCCAACACAGGCAUGCAUCAAGGAAAGAUUAAACCCACCAGAAGGAACUCGGCAAUACUUAGCCCCGACUGUUUACCAAAACCAUAAUCUUUAGCCAACCAAGUAUUAAAGGCGCCUCCUGCCCAGUGAAAAUUAAACGGCCACGGUAUUCUGACCAUGCAAAGGUAGUGUAAUCAAUUGUCUCCUAAAUGAAGACUAGUAUGAACGGAGAAACGAGGGCUAAACUGUCUCCUGGCCAAAAUCAGUGAAAUUGAUCCCCUUGUGCAAAAGCAAGGAUGAGACCAUAAGACGAUAAGACCCCAUGGAGCUUAAACACUAAAGUCAAUUACACACAUUGAAUUCACCAGAAACAAAGUCAAAAAAUGACCCUCUGUUUUGGCUGGGGCGGCCUCGGAACAAAAAAAAACUUCCGGAAACCUUGUUUAGACCAACAAGUCAAAACAUAAAACUACUUGACCCAAUAUUAUUGAGAAUUGAACCAAGUUACCCCAGGGAUAACAGCGCUAUCCCCUUCAAGAGCCCAUAUCGACAAGGGAGAUUACGACCUCGAUGUUGGAUCAGGACAUCCUAGUGGUGCAGCCGCUACUAAGGGUUCGUUUGUUCAAUGAUUAACAGUCCUACGUGAUCUGAGUUCAGACCGGAGCAAUCCAGGUCGGUUUCUAUCUAUGACAUACUCUUUCCAGUACGAAAGGACCGAAACAGUAGGGCAUAACCACAAGCAAGCCCUGCCUUUAAUUAAUGAAACAAAAUAAAUUAAUUAACAAGGAUACACCCCCACGCCCGAAACCAGGGCG